rnacentral:rRNA from 1 species
GAUGAACGCUGGCGGCGUGCCUAAUACAUGCAAGUCGAGCGAAGCGGGGACGGGUGAGUAACACGUGGAUAACCUCCUAUAAAAAUGGGAAAACUUCGGGAAACCGGAGCUAACCCGAGUACUUAUCGAUUGAUACGGGCUGCAUUAGCGAGUUGGUAAGGUAACGUCUUACCAAGGCAACGAUGCAUAGCCGACCUGAGAGGGUGAUCAGCCACACUGGAACUGAGACACGGUCCAGACUCCUACGGGAGGCAGCAGUGGGGAAUCUUCCGCAAUGGGCGCAAGCCUGACGGAGCAACGCCGUGUGAAUGAGGAAGGUCUUCGGAUCGUAAAACACUGUUAUUAGGGAGGCGGUACCUAAACAGAAAGCCACGGCUAACUACGUGCCAGCAGCCGCGGUAAUUC